AUUCUCACUCCAAAGGCGUCAAAAACCGAAGCAUGGUCAAGCGCCCCUAGCGUCACUUUUAUGACGCCAAAUGUGCCUCUCGGCGUCGACUAUCGAAGCACUACGACCUUCAUUGCUUUCAGUGGGAAACUUUUGGCGUCAGAAUUCGACACGAGGACAUGAGAUGUUUAUCGCUAUGAAAUCACGUUCAAGAAGUCUCAUUCAGCACACAUCGCGCGAUACUUGCUAUCAGUUCCACAGUUUGGCUGAAAAGACGUAAAGGCAGUCAGCCCAGUGGUGUUUCUGGAGAGGGAUUCCUUCAGAAAUGGAGAAGACAGAAAGCUGCGGAGGCAGAUAUUUGCAGCAUGUUCGAGUGAGCAUGAUGACCACGAGUGUGUGUCGAACUUUUCAUGACCUGAUGACUGUGUUUCCCAAUCCUGAUCCUGGAGAACCCCAGCACUGCACGGUUUUGGCGUCUCUCUUAUCUGCCUUGGAGUCUUCACUGAUGAGCUGAUGAGUUGAAUCAGGUCUAAAAUAUCGAGCUCAACAGCUAUUUUAAGAGCCAACCCUCACAAACCUUCCUAAAACCUAAAAGAGCUAUUACUGAGUCUCAGCGAAUCUUGCCAUGAUCAGCUCUUCCCAGAAGAGAAGGAAGACCAAGGAUAUGAUUUGCUCAGGAUGAGGAAUGAAGAUGGCCAUCUUGAGCUCAAACAAACAGAAGUCCUCUGAUGAUCUCAUCAGCCAAAUGAGGGGUUUUGACCAAGUGAUGCUCUUGAAAGGAGUGAAAGAAGAGGAUGUUGUAAAUUGUCUUCAGAGAAAAGCUUCUCAAAAGAUCUUAAAACAGCUUGAAGAAUGGUCUGGGAUCUUAGGACUGAGAGAUCAUCUGGCUGAGAACAAGCUACACCUCAUCAGUGCUGGACAUCAACCACAAACUGUUUCCAGACACGAGAGA